rnacentral:lncRNA from 1 species
GUCCUUGUAUUGCACUUAGGGGUAGCCGGGAAGACAUGAUUGCGGCUGCCCAGCAAAACACAGGCCCUGUCAACUCCCAAAGCGCCAUCCUGGUGGACGACCCCGAGGCCUGGCGUUCCACCUGAGCGCACUCACGGUUCUAUAGCAAGCGACACCCAGCGUUCCCAUAACUAACCACUCACAUAGGGUCCAGGGAGGAUAUGAUGGCAGCAGCACAGAGUACAAGGCCAGGCAACAUGAAGGACAUCUUAGUGGAUUCUGAGGCUCCUCCCUCAAGCGCUUAAGAAAUACAUACCCUGUCUCACACACACAAACCCCUUCCGUGCCAUGUGGGAGUAUCGACAAAUGCGAACAGUCAUGGUUGUUAUAGAUGAGCUGCCUGGGUUUCAUGUUCUAAGGAAGGUGAUUCCUGUCAUCAUGAUGAUUAUUAUUAUUUUUAAAAACUUAUUAUUUUUUUCUCCUUUUUUUCUUUUUUUUCUGAAAGGGAUUUGGAACAUGGAUUUAUAUCUUAAUUUAAACAGAAAAUUGGAAUGUAGUGUCAUGUCCCAUACUUUAAAAAAUACUGCAUGAGCUCUAUGGGAUUGAGGAACUUGGCAUGGAGUCGUGAACAGUGCCACAGUUCAUAUUAAUUAGGCUGUUUACUUGAAAAAUGUACUUAGGUUUUGUGUAAUCUGAAAGCAGUAUUCAGCUCUCAAAGAAUUAGAUUUUUUGACUAUUUUUUUCAUUUGCCUAUUUAACUGGAAUGGUUAAUAUGUAUAAGCCUUUUUCUUAAUGAAUUGUGAAUUACUGUUAUCUUUAAAAGAGUGUUGUGAAGUUUGUUCAGCUGUCCUCUUUUAUGAGCAAAUGUGAUGGAUUCUCUUGUCCCUUUUUAAAUGUUAUCCAAUGAAUGUCCCAUACCUCAGGCAGCUGCAAGGAUGACGAUAAUGAUGAAGACAGUGUUUGAUUACUGAAACAGAGCACAUUUUUGAAUUUGUAGAAGCUUUAACUAAACUAUUUAAACUUGGGAUAGAAGGAGACUUUUUGGUAAUUUUUAAAUAUAUGAUGUAUUUUGUAAGGCUGCCAGGGGUUGCUUGUAAGAAUGCCAUCAGAGUCACAUGAAGUUCCUGGUCUUCUUUUUUUUUUAUGUACUUCUUACUUUUUGUUCUUCCAUUAAUACUAGAGUAAGAAGAAAAUGCUUACUUCUUUGGAAAUCUGAAUGUGCAAUUGUUAAGCUUUGCUUUUAUGUUUAUAAUAUGUAAGGAAUCCAAAGCAAAAGGUAUAGGAACUGUAGUUGAUUGUAAACAUUGUAUGUAACUCUUGAGCACAUAAUUAGUUGCUUUAUUUCAUCUAGAAAAUCCUCAUGUUUAUUUUUCUUGAUUGAUAAAUAAAUCAAGUAUGACAGUUGAAAAGUGUAGUCUGCCUUUGUUUUCUGUUAGUAAUCUGAUUAUGAAAAAGGGCUAUCCAUUUGUGGUACAAUACCCUACAUUUACACUGGUAUCCUUUUGGUUUAGAGAUGGCUUGUUAUGAUUCUCAAGUACUUUUAAAAUAGUUAUUGUAAAGAAGUGGUUGUCUGAAAGUUACAUUUGGUCCUAAAAUUAACAAAGUCCUGAGCAUUUUCACCUAACUUUACAUUCCAAAGCUAGAAAUGCCUAUAAUGAAAAAUUUAAGGAAUAUUUAAAAGUUUAUAUCUAUAUCUAUAAAUCUGUCUAUCUGUUAUCCAUCUCAAUAUGCCUUAAAUCAAUGUGAAUUUUGAAAGAAGUAACAAGCUUGUGAUGGUCCACAGUUCAUUCAUGUGGGUUAAUUUAUGGUCAUGAAAAAAAAAAAAUCUUGUUAACAGGGUGGGUGCUGUGUUCAGAAUACAAAUAUUUUAGUAUGUCUGAGAAGCUUAAAGGUUUCUGUAAAUAGACCCAUUAGUGUCAAUAUGUAAAAGUUUUGAAACUAAAGCUUCUAUGACACAUUUGAUAAACACACUUGAGGUAAGUAAAAGCUUAAUAUUUUGUAUUUAUACUGAGUGUUGAUUAAAGUUUAUGAAUGUAUUUAACAAGUGGUUUGACUUAAAAAAUGAAGAUGAAGGAAUUCUGAUGCCAAAGCACUUUAAGACUAAGGACUGGAACAUAAGGCAUAAGGAACAUUGUGAGACAGAGAAGUUUAUGAUUAUUAUAAAUCACAUAUGCAUUGAUUAUUGGUCACGGAUUUUUACCACCACCUUUGCAGUUUUUGCAUUCGUUAGCAGAUUAUAUUUUCUUAUACACAUUUUUUCUCUAUUCUAUUACCCUUCCAGCUUAAGUAUCAAGCAGUGAUUAUAACAAUUAAUUAAGCAAGUUUCCUUUAGGCUGUAAUCCAUACAUAUCGUAAAGUUGUAACCUUUAGUUUGUUUGAAAAAGUGAAAAGAAAAGUAUUAUAUGGUAUACAUUACCAAGUAACACAGGAUCACUGCCGCUUUUGAAUAACACGUGUCAGGUCGUCUAAAUAGGUGUGGCAUAUGGAUGUCAUAAAUGUAAAAUUUAAAAAUAGGUAAGAAAUUUAGACAUUACCAUUUAAAAAUUAUUGUGUAUUCUCAUUAGAAAAGAAGAGAGAAACCAUGAUGUUUUUAAUUGCUUAAGCAGCCCCUUCUUAUUUAGUAAACAAAACCAUUCCAUUUCCAAAUCUCCUUUCAUUUAUUGUGUAUUCUCAAAUGGCACAGAUGUAGCCAUGCAUUUCUGAGUCAGGCAUGCUGGUAAUAUCAUGUUUUUGGUCCCUGGUUUGAAAGAAAAGUGGUCCUUAGUAUAGAUUUAGAACUCGGGCCACUUGCUUUUCUUCUUCAUUCUUUUGUUACCAACUGAUUUCACAGUCCUUUGCACAUUCAGUUUUUACCCUACCCAUUUGUUAAUUCAAAUCUAUUCAAUGCCUUUUUAUAAUUUUCAUGAAAUGGUUACCGAUUGUGUAUACCUGGGCUUUUAGGAAGGGUCCAUCCAUAUAUAAUCUGUGGAAAUGUUGAUUGUAUGAUGUGCUUUUGUAGGCGUUCUAUCUGAUAUUGUAAAGAUAAUGUACAUUUGUGAGAGCCUAGAAUUGGUGUAAAUAAGUUGUUAGUUAUUGGGUACGUACGACAAUUUAGUUCAGGACUCAUAGGGUUGCACCAAAUUUGUACUUUUGGAAGUAUAUGGUCUAUGGUACUCUUGUUGUGAAUAAAUUCAAUUGUGGUCUUUAGAAUGUCUGUGAAUGGAAUGAUUUCUCCAUUACCUAUCUCCUGAAUAAAUUUGUCAGUGUAAUUUGUUAAGAAACAUCUGUGUACAUGUGAUUUAUGUUCUUUUACUGGAUAAUCUUAUGUUUGUCUUAUAUUAUAUACUUGGAUUUGCAUGUGAUUUUAAUUUGUAUGAAAUGAGCAUUCAGGAUUUUUCAUAAAUCAGCAAAUAUUUUUUUUCUACCUUUUUCUGCUUUGGUAAAUUUAUUUAUGUGUUCUCUUCUUAUACCCUUCCUAAAGUUGUGUUGAGUUGAUUUCUCAGUAAAGUAACUUUAUUUUUGUUUAAUAAUGUGUUCAGAAUCAAAAGUUAACUGUAGUCAUGAAGAGAUCUCAAGAUGGUCUUCUGAGAAUCUCGGUUUUGGCUGGACUGCCUUCACUCCAGUCUAGAUCCACCAUCUGAGACUCGAGAUCUUGCAAUGCCUCUUUGUGGUAUUGUUCGUUACUGUUUGUCCUCCAGAGUGUGUGUAUUUAUGUGAAGUCAUCUAGUGGUACCCAAUAAACAAGGAGAAAUUUA